UACGUAGGGUGCAAGCGUUAAUCGGAAUCACUGGGCGUAAAGCGCACGUAGGCGGAUCGUUAAGUCGGGGGUGAAAUCCUGGAGCUCAACUCCAGAACUGCCUUCGAUACUGGCGAUCUUCGAGUCCGGGAGAGGUGAGUGGAACUCCGAGUGUAGAGGUGAAAUUCGUAGAUAUUCGCAAGAACACCAGUGGCGAAGGCGGCUCACUGGCCCGGUACUGACGCUGAGGUGCGAAAGCGUGGGGAGCAAACAGG
rnacentral:rRNA from 1 species